UCGUGCAGCACGUGACCUCCACUCGAGUCCUUAAAUAGGGGUGAAACAGCGGGCUUUAUACUUGAAUCUUGCAUUUUGCAUUUUAGUUGUCGUACGUUAAAUGUACAGACCGCGAUCUUCCCUUUCUGAAAGCUCAGAGAAAACGGAUUUCCAAAGUAAUUGUAGCGAAACUAAGUCAUUGACAAUGUCUGUAUUCAGUUUUAGAACCCCUAUCCACAUUAAUUCAGAGGCUAUUUUACCUGCUAUCAGCGAGCGUUUCGAUAGGCUCUCUGGAUUACAGUGGGGCAUAAUAGAAAAUGGGAUCUGGGACUCCGAUGUCCAAGUAGCAUUGGCUGAUAUGAUUACCGAUGUCAUACAGUCAGUUAGUGCAAGCAUCAUAAAAACUUUGCUUCUAGGAGGUCAGGACCAAUUAAAUGAUGCAUCCCAGACAAGCCUUAGCAUAGCCGUGACAAAAAUAAGACCCAUAUUGGGAAACUCUCUCUCCACCAGCUUUGCUGCCGCUCUUAAUGUCACUCAUGAGGAGUGUGAGAGCGCUGUGGCGCUGACACAGAUGGUUGAGGAGGAGAUCUCAAAUAAAGUCAACUCGGGUUGGGUUCUAGUCCCAGAAAACCCUGAUUCUAUUUAUGUCACCAGAAAAAUAACAAACAUAAAAAAACUUAGAUGCAUGGUUUCUCAUGCUUUCUCAUGUCUGAAGAAUUAUAAAGGUAAGCUGAGCUACCUGUGCAUGAGGGGGGCUUUACCCAGUUCCUUUAGUUCAAGCCACGAGAGCCUUGAAAACAAGCUCUCUGAGAUGGGAACAAUUAAAGAAAUAAGUAUGGCUCUCAUGAGGUGGAGUACAGACAGAGCGAUAAGUAAAGAUGAUGAGGACUGUCACAGAGAACUGCAACCCGUGGAGGAAAAAGAAAGUGAUGAGUUUGCAGAAGCUGAGGAGAAAGCUCAAAUUUCUGUUCCUGUCCGAGGUUUGCAGUGGAGAGCUCAGACCACACAGGACCCCGUCCUCUCCAAACCCUGCUCAGCUCUCUGGUACCAGCACACCCACGCACAACUGGGCACCUUAAAAAAUUGUAGAAAAAUUCAAGCAAGUAGAAAACGGAAUAAUAAUUAUCCAUAACUGUGGAUGAACUGGCCGUUAGAUGAACUGCAGUCUUUGUCCUUUGAGUGUGGCAGGUGGCUUCUUGAUGGCUCACACCGUUCCCCUCUCUCACCUCCUGCAGGGGGCAGUGUCCAGCUCUCUCACCUGUCUGCAGACGGCGGAGGGAGUGGCAGCUCUGCUGAUGGAGAGAGGCGGUCUGGAGGAAGGAGAUAAUGUCGCUCUGGUGUACCUGCCAGGUAUAGACCUGAUCGCAGCCCUUUACGGCUGCCUGUACGCCGGCUGAGUUCCCAUCACAGUGCGACCGCCUCACCCUCAGAACAUCUCCACCACCCUGCCCACUGUUAAGAUGAUUGUCGAGGUGAGUCACUCGGCGUGUGUGAUGAUGACCA